rnacentral:rRNA from 1 species
GAUGAACGCUGGCGGUAUGCUUAACACAUGCAAGUCGAACGGUCACUUCGGUGAUAGUGGCGGACGGGUGAGUAACGCGUGAGAAUCUGUCCUCAGGUCGGGGACAACAGUUAGAAAUGACUGCUAAUACCGGAUGUGCCUUUGGGUGAAAGAUUUAUUGCCUGAAAAAGAGCUCGCGUCAGAUUAGCUAGUAGGUGGUGUAAGAGACUACCUAGGCUCCGAUCUGUAGCUGGUCUGAGAGGACGAUCAGCCACACUGGAACUGAGACACGGUCCAGACUCCUACGGGAGGCAGCAGUGGGGAAUUUUCCGCAAUGGGCGAAAGUCUGACGGAGCAAUACCGCGUGAGGGACGAAGGCUUUUGGGUCGUAAACCUCUUUUCUCAAGGAAGAUGAUGACGGUACUUGAGGAAUAAGCAUCGGCUAACUCUGUG